rnacentral:rRNA from 1 species
UCAAUAAGCGGAGGAAAAGAAACCAACAGGGAUUGCCCUAGUAACGGCGAGUGAAGCGGCAACAGCUCAAAUUUGAAAUCUGGCUCCUUUGGGGUCCGAGUUGUAAUUUGUAGAGGGUGCUUUGGCGUUGGUUGUGGUCUAAGUUCCUUGGAACAGGACGUCACAGAGGGUGAGAAUCCCGUACGUGGCCGCCAGCCUCCGCCGUGUAAAGCCCCUUCGAUGAGUCGAGUUGUUUGGGAAUGCAGCUCUAAAUGGGAGGUAAAUUUCUUCUAAAGCUAAAUAUUUGCCAGAGACCGAUAGCGCACAAGUAGAGUGAUCGAAAGAUGAAAAGCACUUUGGAAAGAGAGUCAAAAAGCACGUGAAAUUGUUGAAAGGGAAGCGCUUGCAGCUAGACGUGCCUUGGGUUGAUCAGCCGGACUUUUGCCCGGUGCACUCUUCCUUUGGCAGGCCAGCAUCAGUUUGGGCGGCUGGAUAAAGGUCUGUUAAACGUGACUUCCUUCGGGGAGAGCUUAUAGGGCAGACGACAUGCAGCCAACCUGAACUGAGGUCCGCGCAUCUGCUAGGAUGCUGGCGUAAUAGCUGUAAGCGGCCCGUCUUGAAACACGGACCAAGGAGUCUAACAUCUAUGCGAGUGUUUGGGUGUCAAGCCCGAGCGCGUAAUGAAAGUAAACGGAGGUGGGAACCUUUUAGGUGCACCAUCGACCGAUCCUGAUGUCUUCGGAUGGAUUUGAGUAAGAGCAUAGCUGUUGGGACCCGAAAGAUGGUGAACUAUGCCUGAAUAGGGUGAAGCCAGAGGAAACUCUGGUGGAGGCUCGCAGCGGUUCUGACGUGCAAAUCGAUCGUCAAAUUUGGGCAUAGGGGCGAAAGACUAAUCGAACUAU